rnacentral:rRNA from 1 species
GGUGAAAGUUUGAGGCUCAACCUUAAAAUUGCCGUUGAAACUGUUUUUCUUGAGUAUAUUUGAAGUAGGCGGAAUUCGUGGUGUAGCGGUGAAAUGCAUAGAUAUCACGAAGAACUCCAAUUGCGAAGGCAGCUUACUAAACUAUAACUGACGCUGAAGCACGAAAGCGUGGGUAUCAAACAGGAUUAGAUACCCUGGUAGUCCACGCCGUAAACGAUGAUUACUAGCUGUUUGUGAUAUUACAAUAAGCGGCUAAGCGAAAGCGAUAAGUAAUCCACCUGGGGAGUA